rnacentral:rRNA from 1 species
UACGUAGGGUGCAAGCGUUGUCCGGAAUUAUUGGGCGUAAAGAGCUCGUAGGCGGUCUGUCGCGUCUGCUGUGAAAACUCGGGGCUCAACUCCGAGCCUGCGUUCGAUACUGGAUGGCUAGAGUCUGGUAGGGGGGAUCUGGAAUUCCUGGUGUAGCGGUGAAAUGCGCAGAUAUCAGGAGGAACACCAAUGGCGAAGGCAGCACUCUGGGACGGUACUGACGGCUGAGACGCGAAAAGCGUGGGGGAGCAAACAGG